GGCCCAAAAGACCCUAUGAAGCUUUACUGUAGCUUGAAAUUGAAUUUGGGUUUAUUUUGCGCAGAAUAGGUGGGAGGCAACGAUAUCAUGUUUGCGGAUAUGAAGAAGCCAAAAGUGAGAUACCACUCUAAUUAAACUAGAAUUCUAAUCACGAUGCCGUUAUCCGGCCGAGAGACAUUUUCAGGUGGGCAGUUUGACUGGGGCGGUCGCCUCCUAAAAGGUAACGGAGGCGCGCAAAGGUUUCCUCAGGCUGGUCGGAAAUCAGUCGAAGAGUGUAAAGGCAUAAGGAAGCUUGACUGCAAGACCUACAAGUCGAGCAGAGACGAAAGUCGGCCUUAGUGAUCCGACAGUGCUGAGUGGAAAGGCUGUCGCUCAACGGAUAAAAGUUACUCUAGGGAA
rnacentral:rRNA from 1 species